rnacentral:tRNA from 1 species
GCCUUGGUAGCUCAGCCGGCUGAGAGCGGUGGUCUCGUAAACCACAGGACAGGGGUUCAAGUCCCCUCCGAGGCUCCA